GACGAACGCUGGCGGCGUGCCUAAUACAUGCAAGUAGAACGCUGAAGGAGGAGCUUGCUUCUCUGGAUGAGUUGCGAACGGGUGAGUAACGCGUAGGUAACCUGCCUGGUAGCGGGGGAUAACUAUUGGAAACGAUAGCUAAUACCGCAUAAUAGUAGAUGUUGCAUGACAUUUGCUUAAAAGGUGCAAUUGCAUCACUACCAGAUGGACCUGCGUUGUAUUAGCUAGUUGGUGAGGUAACGGCUCACCAAGGCGACGAUACAUAGCCGACCUGAGAGGGUGGUCGGCCACACUGGGACUGAGACACGGCCCAGACGCCUACGGGAGGCAGCAGUAGGGAAUCUUCGGCAAUGGACGGAAGUCUGACCGAGCAACGCCGCGGGAGUGAAGAAGGUUUUCGGAUCGUAAAGCUCUGUUGUAAGAGAAGAACGAGUGUGAGAGUGGAAAGUUCACACUGUGACGGUAUCUUACCAGAAAGGGACGGCUAACUACGUG
rnacentral:rRNA from 1 species